AGUGAACGCUGGCGGCGUGCUUAACACAUGCAAGUCGAACGAGAACGGGCUAUAGCUUGCUAUAGUUGUCAGCUAAGUGGCGCACGGGUGAGUAAUGUAUAGGUAAUAUGCCUCUUACUAAGGGAUAACAAAUGGAAACGUUUGCUAAUACCUUAUACUCCUUAUUAACAGAAGUUAAUAAGGGAAAGAUUUAUUGGUAAGAGAUUAGCCUGUAUUGUAUCAGUUAGUUGGUGGGGUAAUGGCUUACCAAGACUAUGACACAUAACUGGUUUGAGAGGAUGAUCAGUCACACUGGAACUGAGACACGGUCCAGACUCCUACGGGAGGCAGCAGUGGGGAAUAUUGCACAAUGGACGAAAGUCUGAUGCAGCAACGCCGCGUGGAGGAUGACACAUUUCGGUGCGUAAACUCCUUUUAUAUGAGAAGAUAAUGACGGUAUUAUAUGAAUAAGCACCGACUAACUCCGUGCCGGCCGCCGCAGUAAUAC
rnacentral:rRNA from 1 species